rnacentral:rRNA from 1 species
AGUGAACGCUGGCGGUAGGCCUAACACAUGCAAGUCGAACGGCAGCACAGUAAGAGCUUGCUCUUACGGGUGGCGAGUGGCGGACGGGUGAGGAAUACAUCGGAAUCUACUUUUUCGUGGGGGAUAACGUAGGGAAACUUACGCUAAUACCGCAUACGACCUACGGGUGAAAGCAGGGGAUCUUCGGACCUUGCGCGAUUGAAUGAGCCGAUGUCGGAUUAGCUAGUUGGCGGGGUAAAGGCCCACCAAGGCGACGAUCCGUAGCUGGUCUGAGAGGAUGAUCAGCCACACUGGAACUGAGACACGGUCCAGACUCCUAAGGGAGGGAGCAGUGGGGAAUAUUGGACAAUGGGCGCAAGCCUGAUCCAGCCAUACCGCGUGGGUGAAGAAGGCCUUCGGGUUGUAAAGCCCUUUUGUUGGGAAAGAAAAGCAGCAGGUUAAUACCCCGCUGUUCUGACGGUACCCAAAGAAUAAGCACCGGCUAACUUCGUG